rnacentral:rRNA from 1 species
AGUGAACGCUGGCGGCGUGCUUAACACAUGCAAGUCGAACGAGAACGGAUUAUAGCUUGCUAUAAUUGUCAGCUAAGUGGCGCACGGGUGAGUAAUGUAUAGGUAAUAUGCCUCUUACUAAGGGAUAACUAAUGGAAACGUUUGCUAAUACCUUAUACUCCUUAUUAACAGAAGUUAAUAAGGGAAAGAUUUAUUGGUAAGAGAUUAGCCUGUAUUGUAUCAGUUAGUUGGUGGGGUAAUGGCUUACCAAGACUAUGACACAUAACUGGUUUGAGAGGAUGAUCAGGCACACUGGAACUGAGACACGGUCCAGACUCCUACGGAAGGCAGCAGUGGGGAAUAUUGCACAAUGGACGAAAGUCUGAUGCAGCAACGCCGCGUGGAGGAUGACACAUUUCGGUGCGUAAACUCCUUUUAUAUGAGAAGAUAAUGACGGUAUUAUAUGAAUAAGCACCGGCUAACUCCGUGCCAGCCGCCGCGGUAAGAC